rnacentral:rRNA from 1 species
UGACGAGCGGCGGACGGGUGAGUAAUGUCUGGGAAACUGCCUGAUGGCGGGGGAUAACUAGUGGAAACGGUAGCUAAUACCGCAUAACGUCGCAAGACCAAAGUGGGGGACCUUCGGGCCUCACGCCAUCAGAUGUGCCCAGGUGGGAUUAGCUGGUAGGUGGGGUAACGGCUCACCUAGGCGACGAUCCCUAGCUGGUCUGAGAGGAUGACCAGCCACACUGGAACUGAGACACGGUCCAG